UACGUAGGGUGCAAGCGUUAAUCGGAAUUACUGGGCGUAAAGCGUGCGUAGGCGGCGAUUCAAGUCAGGCGUGAAAGGCCUGGGCUCAACCCGGGAACUGCGUUUGAUACUGGAUUGCUGGAGUCCGGGAGAGGAUGGCGGAAUUCCCAGUGUAGAGGUGAAAUUCGUAGAUAUUGGGAAGAACACCGGUGGCGAAGGCGGCCAUCUGGACCGGAACUGACGCUGAGGCGCGAAAGCGUGGGGAGCAAACAGG
rnacentral:rRNA from 1 species